GCCUGGUCCCACUGCGCGUGCGCGUCCCUGGCGCGGGGGGCCCUUCUGCGCGCGCGCGCGCCGAGGUCGCAGGGGUCUGAGGUCCAGGUCUCGCGGGUGCACCGUCCUCGCGGACAGUGAGGCGUCUCGGGUUGGGCCGGGAAGGGUCGGUCGGGCCGGACCUGGCCUCGCACUCUCCCCGCUCGCCGCCCCCGGCGUCGCUGGCGAAACCCGAGCGCGCGUUAGGCGCGGGGCCGCGUGACGCGCCCCUGUUAGGGUGGGCCCGGCGGGCGGAAGAGGAUGCGCGGGGCCCCGGCCUGGCCUGAGCUCGGCCCGCAGCACCGGGCGCCCUGCGCCGCCCUCGACGUUUCCCGGAGAAGCGGCCGGCUCUGACGGGCGAGAUGAAAACAGACGGGAACCCCGCUUCUGGUCUGUACCCUCUGGCUGGCCACGUCACUGCUCGCAGCUGUGGGGAUGUUAGCAGAGCCGCACUUUACAAGGCACGCAGGCGCUUGGAAUAUGCUCACGGCGGCCGUGUGCGUGGCCCUGCUGGGCUGCCUGCAGGCCCAGGAGCUCCAGGGGCAUGUCUCCGUAAUCCUGCUGGGAGCCACCGGGGACCUGGCCAGAAAAUACCUAUGGCAGGGGCUGUUCCAGCUGUACCUGGAGGAGGCGGGGAAGGGCCACAGUUUUCGCUUCCACGGGACUGCUCUGACGAGCACCAAGCAGGGCCAGGAGGUCAUAGCCAAGGUCCUGGAGUCCCUCUCCUGCCCCAGGGACACAGCUCCCGGUCGCUGCGCUGAACUCAAGGCUCAGUUCCAGCAGCUGAGCGAGUACCGCCGCCUGAAGACACCUGAGGACUAUCUGGCCCUGAGCAAGGACAUUGAGGCCCGGGUGCAGCACGAAGGCCUCCAGGAGGCCGGCAGGAUUUUCUACUUCUCGGUGCCACCCUUCGCCUAUGCAGACAUUGCCCGCAGCAUCAACAGCAGCUGCCGUCCAGGCCCAGGUGCCUGGCUGCGCGUUGUCCUUGAGAAACCCUUUGGCCAUGACCACCGCUCAGCCCAGCAGCUGGCCACAGAACUUGGGAGCUUUUUCCAAGAGGAGGAGAUGUACCGCGUGGACCAUUACCUGGGCAAGCAGGUGGUGGCCCAGAUCCUGCCUUUCCGAGACCAGAACCGCAAGGCCCUGGACGGCCUCUGGAACCGGCACCACGUGGAGCGCGUGGAGAUCAUCAUGAAGGAGACCGUGGACGCAGAAGGUCGCACCAGCUUCUACGAGGAGUACGGCGUCAUCGGUGAUGUCCUGCAGAACCACCUGACCGAGAUCCUCAUGCUGGUGGCCAUGGAGCUGCCCCUCGACAUCAGCAGCUCGGAGGCGGUGCUGGGGCACAAGCUCCAGGCCUUCCGGGCCCUGCGGGGCCUGCAGAGGGGCAGUGCUGUCGUGGGCCAGUACCAGGCUUACCGUGGGCAGGUGCGCAGAGAGCUGCAGAAGCCAGACAGCUUCCACAGCCUGACGCCGACCUUUGCAGGCAUCCUCGUUCACAUAGACAACCUUCGCUGGGAGGGGGUCCCUUUCAUCCUGAUGUCCGGCAAAGCCUUGGAUGAGAGAGUGGGCUACGUUCGGAUCUUGUUCAAGGACCAGGUGUACUGUGCCCAGAGCGAGAAGCGCUGGGUCCCGGCCCAGAGCCACUGCCUUCCUCAGCAGAUCAUCUUCUACAUUGGCCACGGUGAGCUGGGCAGCCCAGCUGUGCUGGUCAGCAGGAACCUGUUCAGGCCCUCCCUGCCCUCUGCCAGCUGGAAGGAAGUGGAGGGCCAGCCUGGGCUUCGCCUCUUUGGCUGCCCUCUGUCUGAUUACUACGCCUACAGCCCUGUGAGGGAGCAGGACGCCUACUCCAUCCUCAUCUCUCAUAUCUUCCACCGCCGGAAGGACUCCUUCAUUGCCAUGGAGAACUUGCUGGCUUCCUGGGUCUUCUGGACGCCCUUGCUGGACAGCCUGGCCCACGAGGUCCCACGCCUCUACCCAGGAGGAGCAGAGAAUGGACACCUGUUGGACUUUGAGUUCAGUGGCAGCCACUUGUCCUUCUCCCAGCCGCCAUUGGAGCAGCUGGUACCGGGGCCGGAUUCCGCUCCGAUGCCCAGCGACUUCCAGGUUCUCGGGGCCAAGUACCGAGACAGCCCGCUGAUAUCAGCCUGGCCGGAGGAGCUGAUCGCCAGGCUGGCCGGCGACAUCGAGGCUGCAGCUGUGCGGGCUGUGAGGCGCUUUGGCAAGUUCCACCUGGCACUCUCGGGCGGCUCGAGCCCCGUGGCCCUGUUCCAGCAGCUGGCCAUGGGGCACUACGGCUUCCCCUGGGCCCACACACACCUGUGGCUGGUGGACGAGCGCUGCGUCCCGCUCUGGGACCCCGAGUCCAACUUCCAGGGCCUGCAGGCUCACCUGCUGCAGCACGUGCGUGUCCCCUACUACAACAUCCACCCCAUGCCCGUGCACCGGCGCCAGCGGCUCUGUGCCGAGGAGGACCAGGGCGCCCAGGCCUAUGCCGAGGAGAUCUCCACCCUGGUGACCAACAGCAGCUUCGACCUGGUGCUGCUGGGCAUGGGCACCGACGGGCACACGGCCUCCCUCUUCCCUCAGUCACCCGUCGGCCUGGACGGCGAGCAGCUGGUGGUGCUGACCACGAGCCCCUCCAGCCCGCGCCGGCGCAUGAGCCUCAGCCUGCCCGUCAUCAACCGUGCCCGCCAGGUGGCGGUCCUGGUCAUGGGCCGGAUGAAGCGCGAGAUCGCCCUGCUGGUGAGCCGCGUGGGCCGCGAGCCCAGGAAGUGGCCCAUCUCGGGCGUCCGGCCUGAUUCUGGCCAGCUGGUGUGGUACAUGGACUACGACGCGUUUCUGGGGUGACGGCACCUUUGCCCUUCGCUCACCCCCGCGCUUUCCUUCACCCAUCGUCUCUCCGCCCCCUCCGUCCUGCCCCAGCCCGCCUGCCCUGCUCUCUGGAAUCUGAUGCCUCAUGGUCAGGCUCCCGGAGACGAAGGACAAAGCCCUUCCCCAGCCCCUGUGACCGUCCCUGCCUAGUGGUGGUGGGUACACACGGGAACAGGAAGAAAUGGAAUCUCUGCUCUUGAGAAGCUUCGAAUCCAAGUCAGGAGAGAAAUGUCCACCUUAAGAAAAGACCUGCAGCAGUCACACGUGAACACCAGCCAGCACAAAAUAGGACGGUCUGAAAACUCCCCCCUUGAGCAGGAAUGUGGUGAGCCGAGGUUAACGGGGUGUUUCCUGCGGGCCGGGACCCUUCGACCAGCUCUGGUGGAAAAGCAGAACGUGGGUGGUAGAAAGCAGGAGCCCAGGCACCAGCGGCCCUGUGCCCCCCACAGAGCAGGCGGCUGGGAGCCCUCCCCCCUCCUCCAUCCCCUUCCUCCCGAGCCUCUGGCGCAGCCUGCUGUACUGUCUCCCCCGGGGCCACCUCCACCUGCUCUGCAUCUCGGGUCUCUUUCUUUUCAGCCCCGACCAUGGAGAUCUUCCCACCCCCUCUCUGUUUCUUUGCUGUCCCUCAGACGCCCCAUUCAUGGACAGAUGAUGACAGUAACACGGUGACAAACAAGAUGUUAAAAUGGAGCCAGAAAUCGUGCGACUGUGGUUUGCAGCUCCUUUUCUCAGUAGAUGGAUUUCUCUGAUGGCAGGAGGCUCUGGUUCCCCAGCUCUGUCAGGGAAGACCCCUGCCCCACGCUUGCGCUCCCGUCCCCAGCCAACUCUGCGUGAAACACACUGGAGAUAGAUGAUCAGGAUUUAAGAGGGUCCUUUGUGUCUCAGGGGACUUCCCAGUGAGUGUUUCCACUCUCGGUGUCCCCUCUUGUUUUACCUGGGAAGAUCCAGUUAAAUCUUUCUCUUGACGGUGACAUCUCAUUUGGGGGGAGAGAUGUGACAUCAGGUGAUCGCGACCAUCCAGGUGCUCUGACCUGACCAGGCUGAGCCAGGCCUCCCUGGUGGGGCCCUGCAGCUCACGUCAGCACUGGCUGCCCACGACCGUCUCAGGGACUUGACUGAUGGUCAGCGCCGAGGGAGGCUGCCGCCUGCCCUUCUCAUACUACCUCGUGGCGGCAUCGGCCUCCUGUCUGCCGGUCCCUCCUGCCAGCGCUCACCUCACCACUAACGCGUUGCUGAAGAUCUGGGGGAAACCAACGAGCUUCUCGUUAAGAGUAGGAGACGGGCCCUGCGGACCUCAGUCCAUUGGUAGAGAAGCUGCCUGGCAGCGUGUCCGUGUCAGAGAAUGAGCAAGUCACAGGAAAGGCCAGUGGUGACAUGAGGGGGAGUUGGCCGUGGUGGCAGGCCCACGUGAUCAGCGCCUGCCUGCCCCGCAAACAUAGACUCCGGGGAGCGGGGAGGCCUUGGGAGGCGGCCCGCGUGGCCCGCGUGGCCCACCAGGGGCCGUGCCCUCCCCCCCCGCCCCACCUGCUGAGCUGAAGAGCAGCCCCCUACCCUCAGCCCUCGCACGGCGCUGCUCUGGGCGCCGCAGACCUCGGGGCUGCAGCUGAGCACGUGGCACUCGAGGUGCUCGCUUUGUUCAGGGAGAUUUCCAUGAGGAGGAGGGUGGUUCCUCCACCCUCAUCCGCAUUUGGCAGCUGAUCAGAGCCUGGGACGAAGAGCUUUCGGAGGCCCCGAGCAUUUUGGUUGCAGUCAUGGAUUCGAUCCUCUGAUAACCCACCCCUCUGCCCCCGUUGACCGGCCAGUGUCGGCCCAGGUGUCAGCCUGCCGUCCGAGGUCCAUCUUCCGUUGGUCACUUGAAGUUUGGGGUUGGGGGCCAGUGUGUGCUUUGUGGUCCUUUGCUGUGUAGUGUCCACGUGAGAUGAAAAUCCCGCUUCCCACCCUUCCUGCUCUAGAGCAGGCUGCUGCCUCCUGUGUAGAUCAGCCUUCGCCGGAGGAAGCCAGCCACACACGCCAGCCUGUGUUCCUGGAGGACAUGCGUUUUCCAGGACAUCCCGCGACCCUCCUCUAGAGCAGCUCGAGGUGGGGCCGGAGUGAGAAACUCCCAGGAUUCCGAGGCUCAUUGCGAAGCAAGGCGCAGGCUUAACUAAAGCUGUCAGCACCAGAGAGGAGUAGCCGGAGAUUUGAGGAGGCACUUCUGAUAGCACAGCAAGCCAGGGAAAAUGAUCCCUUUGAUGAAACUUCGUCUCCAGCCAACUUUCGGGAGCCCAUCUGUUUGCAAAGCAGGUCCCCAGGGCUGUGUCUGUGUGUGUGUGACCCAUAGAAGGGGAAGGGCGGAGAUCUAGAUGAAGUAUGCUGCUUUUAUUCUUGAUUCCCAGGAUGGUCUUUGUUUAAAACUCUUACCUUCCUCUCAGGUGUUUUAAAGGAAGUCCCUGCAUCUUUUGUGUCCCUCCAGCAUGGGAAGGGAUAAACACGUUUUCAUUCACUGAAAGCUGCGUGGAGUCAGUUUCAAUGGCUAGUAGCUUUGAAAGUGGAAGUGUAAACAGAACUACAUACAUUUGUCAGUUUGGGUCUUUAGCUCUACCCCACAGAAGUCUAGAAGGGUCGGUUAUAAACGGUAUGAGGUACUUGAGUAUAAGAGGAAAGGACCCUGGAGUAGCUGGUAAUCACGGGCCCCGCUGCAUCCACUUCUCUGAGACGUGGCCUGUACAGUCCUCUCCUCCUGGUCCUUCAUUUGGGAGAACGGGGUGAGAACGGACACCAUGGGCCCUCUGCUGGGUCCAAGAGCCGUGGCUGCCCGUGGCUGAGUGAAGGGCCUCGUUUCCAGCACGUUGGCGCCGUGCUUAGCAGCGGAUGCCAGAAUGAGACCUAGAUUAGGGCGGGGGGUGGGCGUGUGGGCACUGAAAUCAGGGCAUGUUGCAAUCUGGGUCGUGUCCGCGCGUUCUGUCCCGAGCUGGGAAAGCCAGCACAGCACGGACUUUUGUCGGGAGAGAAGAGAGACAGGAAGACUCUUCUCAGAGGACCCGUCUGUUCCCUCGUGUGCUGGGAGACCGCGGACGUGAACACCUCCACCCCCGCCCGCCGCCAAUGGCAAGAACGUGCCAUGCCUUUCUGCAGAGACAGAAACCGCCCCUGGUGUUUAUGGAAAUACUGCACACUUUUAACCAUGCCUCUGACAGUGAGACGUAUUCAGAACAGGGUUUUUUAAGUGCCUUUUUGUAUGUCAAAUGUACCACUUAUUUUUUUUAAACAAUGAAAUAGUUUUGCCAAAA